GACGAACGCUGGCGGCGUGCUUAACACAUGCAAGUCGAACGGAAAGGCCCUGCUUUUGUGGGGUGCUCGAGUGGCGAACGGGUGAGUAACACGUGAGUAACCUGCCCUUGACUUUGGGAUAACUUCAGGAAACUGGGGCUAAUACCGGAUAGGAGCUCCUGCUGCAUGGUGGGGGUUGGAAAGUUUCGGCGGUUGGGGAUGGACUCGCGGCUUAUCAGCUUGUUGGUGGGGUAGUGGCUUACCAAGGCUUUGACGGGUAGCCGGCCUGAGAGGGUGACCGGCCACAUUGGUACUGCGAUACGGCCCAGACUCCUACGGGAGGCAGCAGUGGAGAAUAUUGCACAAUGGGCGGGAGCCUGAUGCAGCGACGCCGCGUGCGGGAUGACGGCCUUCGGGUUGUAAACCGCUUUCGCCUGUGACGAAGCGUGAGUGACGGUAAUGGGUAAAGAAGCACCGGCUAACUACGUG
rnacentral:rRNA from 1 species